GGCAUUGUAGCUCAGUGGUAGAGCACGGGCCUCGCAGGCGUGAGACCUAGGUUCAACUCCUUGUAUAUCA
rnacentral:tRNA from 1 species